CACGUAGGAUCCGAGCAUUAUCCGGAGUGACUGGGUGUAAAGAGUUGCGUAGGUGGCAUAGUAAGCAGAUAGUGAAAUCUGGUGGCUCAACCAUUCAGGCUAUUAUCUGAACUGCUAAGCUCGAGAAUGUUAGGGGUAGCUGGAAUUUCUAAUGUAAGAGUGAAAUCCGUAGAUAUUAGAAGGAACACCGAUAGCGUAGGCAGGCUACUGGGACAUUUCUGACACUAAGGCACGAAAGCGUAGGGAGCAA
rnacentral:rRNA from 1 species